CUGGAUUCGGAAGUGGUCCCGCCAAGUGGUUCCUCAAGAGCGAGUGAGGUCUGAACCGCCUUCAUUGACGCCUGCAGCAAGGCCUUGGAGCCGAUCCCAUGCUCUGCCACCUCACUCCGCAGCAUGCCCAGGGCAGUCCAUGGAUGGAGCAACAGAAACCUAUUUUCAAGGGCCAGUGUUUUGCUUCAAAAUGAAAUGUGAACCUAUUACUUUGAGACAUUCUUCACCUCCUGUGUACAGCCUUGCGAAGAAGCGCACAAGCACGUGAAGAGGCAAACCAUCUAUCUCCUUGAAGGAUAAAGAACUUGCUGCUCAAAAGGUGAAAUUAACCCAGAGCACACAGUGAGAGCUGGAGCAGGAUUCAAAGCUGGCCCCUCUGCUUGCCAACCCCCACACGGGCUGCCUGCCCCACAGGAGAGCUGAGCUCCACGGGGUUGACCCCACCAGCUGAAUGACCUUGAGCAAGCCGCUAACCGGCUAACUGUCUCUAGGCCUCGAUGAACAUAAGCCUUCUUCCCGCCCUGAAUCGGCAUUUCAGUUAGGGCAUCGGCCCUGGCAGGCCCUGAUAAGGUCUGCACUCCACUCUGCUCUCCACGGCCCUGGCAAGCGAUGGAAAUAAAACUCACAGGCAGCAGAAACCAGUUCCACCCUCCAGGUCAAUACCCAUUUGUCAAAAGUUUGGCAAAAGUUGCAUUCGUAUUAGUGAAACCUCAGCAUAGCUGCAUGCACGGUUUGACACACAGAAUUUAUGACAUCUGUUGGAGGAAUGUAGCUCUGAAAACCCUCAGUGUCAAAAAGUGUAUAUAAUGGAAGGAACACUUCUUGCACUGCCUGACAUUUCUAAUUUCUUUCCAAACCCCUGUCUCCAAUUCUUAAAAUGAUGGCUCCCUGAGCACCUCUGUGCUUUCUUUUUUUUUUUAAUUGGAUAAUUCAGAUUUUUUUUCCUGAACAUCUGACUGUAGAUUGAAAAAAAAAUCACAUCUACAAAUCGUGUUGACAAGUAGAAAAAAAUGGUUAACAUACACUCAAAUAUUUGUUCAAGAAAAAGACUUUUUGUUUUCUGGAGAAAAAAAGACCAGGCUAAAUGUAUUAAAUCCUGGAGGACACAUACUAGUGAACGAUAUUGGCACCUCUAGGAUCAAUAAGUAGGGGAACUCUUCUCUUCAACGCAUCUCAGACUGUAUCCACAAAGCCCUUUUCUUUCAUCCUUAAUGACAGAUUAUAGAACUCUCAUCACAAAUUUAAACAUUUUCGGGAGAUGCUUAUAUUCUCCUAAGCCUUUCUCUGUAGAGUUCCACAGUGUUUUACUCUCAACAGGGCACCUUCCAGCUGUUCGUGCUGAAGUCUGGGCCUGCCUGGUUUCAGCAAUGGAAUUUAGAGUAUGAAUCCUGAAUUCCUUCUCUGUACUUCACGGUUCUCUGAAGGUGACCACAUGGGCUCCCAGCCUCGGCGUUGCCACACUGAAGAGCCCUAAUCUCUCUCCCCUGACCUCACAGAGCGGCGUGUUCCAUUUAUCUCACUGGGUCAGAACCAAGGUGUGUGUCAUGUGGGGACAGGGUGUCCUCCCUUUUCUAUUUAUCAGAAAGAUCAGGUACUAAUUCUUUGAAAUGGCAUGAUGUUCAUUAAUUGAUUUCAUCUGAUCCCUGGGACCCAGGGAGGAAGUUCAACCACCCACUUGUGGUCACUGUGUUUCCUCCUCUCCCAACUAUACCUGCUGCUUCAUCUGUUUCUACGUCUAGUUACUAGACGUAGGUGCCUUUCUUCUGCUGUAAAACAUCUGAAACAAGGAGAGGAAGAAUCCACACAAGGCUUUGCUGUCACUCAGCUCUGGGUUUGGAACCCAACCCCACCACUUGUGAGCUAUGGAACUGAGUAGGUUCACUCAGCCUCCCUGAGCCUGUUAGUAAAAUGGGAACAGAUGUGAAGCUGAAAUAACACUUGUCAGGUGCUCACUACAGGUCCUGGCACAUGGGAUCUGAGAAUAGCAUUAAUAACCAUCAUCAUCUGGCCCUAGCUGGUUGGGUUCAGUGGACAGUACAUCAGCCCAUGGACUGAAGAAUCCCGUGUCUGAUUCCACUCUCUCGAACAACAACAAAAACCCAUUAUCAUUUGGGGCAAAGUUAGCAUUGCCCCAGCUUCACCAAGGAGGAUAUUAAAUACUGUCCGUGGUGGCCUACCAACAUGGCAGGCUGAGGACAGCAGCAGUUAAUGGUCAUCAAGCAGGUGCCAGGGGCUGUGCUAUGUACAUUACUACAUGGGCUAUCCAUUCGAACUCUACAAUCAUCACCAAAGAGCUAGGUACUAAUCUCCCCCUUUCAGAGAUGAGGAAUCUCAGAUUCAGGGACCUGACAGGCUAGACAGCUAGUAAAGAGGAAGCCAGAUCUGGCUCCCACAGUGCAAGAGUGCUGGGUUUAGGAAAGGCCUCUGACCAGGGUGGGCAGAGAGGUGUCCGUCUAGUGAGGACUGGCAGGGGGGAGCCUAUGGUGGUGAAGAAGUGAGACCCAGAGCGUUUAUUCACCUUACACUUUUUUUCUGUGAAGAGGAAAUACCUGAUCAAAGGGCUUGGAAGAGCAGCUACAGAGAAACCAUUACCCAUGCAUCCGAAUGCGUUUUAUUUCUAGUCCACCAUGUUUGCUUUUCAUGAGGAUGUCCCUCUUCUCCGCGCAGCACAAGUCCGGCCAACUACCAGUGCUUGUAACCUUUUUUGUUUGUUAGCUUAAAGUCAAACAGUCUAUAUUUUCAGUUUCCAAGUCUGAGGAAAUAAAGAUGUAUUGGAAUUUAGAACUCACUGUUAGAAAGCAGAAAAUCAUAAAGGCUCUUAAAGCAAUACUUCUAAGUAGAGUCACACUGCUGGUAGAGAGCGUAGGUUUGGUGCUCAACCCACUGUCUGUUGAUGCGUGUGUAUGCCACUGCUGAAGAUUUAGCUAAUAUUUGAGGGACAAUCUCCAAACCAGCAGAAUUACUACAAAAGGCCUCUAUGUGUAUGCAGAUUAACACCAACAACACAGAGAAAGGCUUUGGGGAAGGGUCUUUUCAGCUUGCUGGUCACUUGAACAGACCAAAAGAGAUGCUGCCUCAAAUGUUUUGGGAGGAUAAUACAUGGAACCCAGUUUUCCCCUGAUUUUGGUUUAUUGUUUUGCUUUAAGAAACCACUCAUGAGAGAAGGUAGGUUGAUCACAUGAUCUAAAGUUCACAAAGUAAAAACAUACAAACGACAGGACCACCAAGUUUAGAAAAUGUCCUACAAUGUGCAUUUUAUUCCAUAUCAUUAUACAAUGUCUUUAUGUACAGUAGUCCCCCCUUAUCCGCGGUUUCGUGGUCCUUGGUUUCAGUUAACCGAGGUCAACCAUGGUUGGAAAAUAUUAAAUGAAAAGAUUUCAGAAAUAAACAAUUCAUACGUUUUAAAUUGCGCGUCGUUCUGAGUAGCGUGUUGAAAUCUUGCGCGGUCCCGUUCCGUCCCGCCCGGGACAUGCAUCAUCCCUUGGUCCAGCACCCACACUCUACGAUCCCCGCCCUUUAGGCACUUAGUCGCCAUCUUGGUUACAGAUUGACCAUCUCAGUAUCACAGUGCUUGUGUUUAAGUGACCCUUACUUUACUUAAUGGCCCCAAAGUGCAAGAGUGGUGAUGCUGGCAAUUCCGAUAUGCCAAAGAGAAGCUGUAAAGUGCUCCCCAAGUGAAAAGGAAUGUAUGUACAGGAAACCACACGUAGCAUACAGGGUUCAGUACUAUCCACGGUCUCAGGCAUCCAUUAGGGGUCUUGGAACAUAAUCCCCGUGGAUAAAGGGAGGGGAGCUACUGUAGUUAUCACUCUUAAGAAAAUGUUUUUUUUCUUUAUCAAUUGCAUGUAGUGCCUAAAUUUCCACUUU